CUUUGAGCUUAUCAACUCUCUCUCUCUCUAAAACUCACUUUCUCUCUCUCAAAUUCAGACAUCUCACUGAGCUUAUCAAUUCUCAAAUCCGGAGCUUCAAUAUCGUCCAUGAAAUCGUCGUUCACUUUGCCGUUCAAUAUCGUCACCAUCAAUAUGCAUUGUUAAACCCCCAUUUCAUCACUAUCUUCUCCUUCUUCCACUCACACACACAAUCCAAUGGCGGAACCGUCCUAUACACCAGUCGUCCUAAGCAAUCUGGUCAGCAAUCUUGGAGGCCGAGUCUCUGUGCCAUUGCUUAGGCCGAGUCUCUGCGUUACAAGCUAUUUGGAGGCCUUACUGUUCGCAAGCCUUGCUAUGGUGUUUUGAUCCCUAAACCGUUUAGGUCAGCAAUCUUCAUCAACUAAACUCGGCUGACAUAGAGCAACUCAAUUGAGCAAGAAGCGAAAGUUUGUAGUUGAUGGUGUGUUCUUUGCUGAGCUGAAUGAGGUCCUCACCAGGGAACUUGCAGAGGGUGGUUAUUCUGGUGUUGAAGUUAGGUGAGAAGGGAAGGAGAAUAAGGGAGCUGACAUCACAGGUUCAGAAGCGUUUUAAGUUCGCUGAAAACAGUGUGGAGCUUUAUGAUGAAAGGGUUAACAACAGAGGUCUAUUAAUUGAGCAAGAAGCGAAAGGUGAGAAGGGAAGGAGAAUAAGGGAGCUGACAUCACAGGUUCAGAAGCGUUUUAAGUUCACUGAAAACAGUGUGGAGCUUUAUGAUGAAAGGGUUAACAACAGAGGUCUCUGUGCCAUUGCUUAUGCCGAGUCUUUGCGUUACAAGCUGAUAAAGAGAAACGAUCAUACAGCUGACAAAUAUGUGUAAACGGUUAUAACUUGAUAUAUAAACUUGUGCUGAUAGCCUCAGGAAAAAAUUUAUACAAAUUGGAAGCUUUUGGUUAAAUUGUUAUUGUUACUAUUUAUAUAUAUGUAGGUUGUCAUGAAUAAGUUGGAAGAUGCACAUGAACUGAUCGAUACUGCGAUUUCAACUGCUCUGAAAGAGAGCAAACCUGUUUAUAUCAGCAUCGACUGUAGUUUGUCUUCAAUCCCUCAUCCUACUUUCGCUCGAGAACCGGUUCCAUUUUCUCUAGCCCCCAAGUAUGAUCUACAAACAUCCUGCAGAGUUUUUAACACCAAUCUAUAUGCAAUAGUAGUGCUUUGUUUCCUUAUGCUUUGAACUUGUAGGCUUUGUUGUUUUGAUUGUGUAGGAUGAGUAAUAAUAUGGGUUUGGAAGCAACUGUUGAGGCGGCAGCAGAGUUCUUGAACAAGGCAGUAAAGCCUUCUGAAGUAAGCUUUUUAUUUUUCUAUCAGCUUUUAUCGGUAUGAACUUACUUGGAGUGUCCGUGAACUAGAAAAUGUGCCAAAGGGCUCAAAGGUAACCGACACUUUUAGUUUGGAGGGGAACAUCUUUAAUCCACUUUCAUGUUUUAAUUAACUUUUUUUUGCAUAUACUAUCUGCAUUCUUUGUACUGUAUUACCAAGCAUACAUGCGUAUGAAACUGUUGACUAAUUCCGUUACUUUUUAUUAACAUAAGGGGGAGCAUUUCAUUCAAACUAAGGAAACACUCUAGCUAGGAUCAAUACCUUACUAUAACAUGUACACCAACCUGAGACCAAUGUUCUAUUAUAAGGUCUUAUCUGAUGAAGAGAAACGAUCAUUAUAUGAUCGUUAUGGCGAGGCUGGGGUACGAGGGGAAUAUGAUGGAUCAGGUGCUGGUUCUCAGGAGGUGGACACAUUUGAUGUGUUUCGUUCCUUUUUGAGGAUUCAAAUGGAUAUGAAGAAGAGUGAUGGGGCAGAAGAAAAGUUCAAAGAAAUAAGUGCUGCAUAUGAGGACUGUAUUUUGUACGUUUUAGAAGACUUGAAUUGCAUGUACCUGUCUUCUUUCAUGCUAGAAUCGCAUCAGACGUUGCAGAACAAGCAAGAUUGAUGGCUGACGAAGUUUUUUUUUUUUUUUUAAUAAAAAAGAUUAGGUUUAAACACUGUUAGGUUAAAAUAGUGUUUUAACCCGAGAAAAAGUGAAACCACUAUUUUGGGUUAAAACAGUGUUUUGAAACCACUUUUGGGUUAAAACAGUGUUUGAAACCACUGUUGGGUUAAAACAGUGUUUUGAAACCACUUUUGGGUCAAAACAGUGUUUGAACCCACUGUUGGUUAAAACAGUGUUUUGAAACCACUGUUGGGGUAAAACAGUGUUUUAGUUAAUUUUUGUAUUAUUUGGUAGAUCUUUGAAAUAUGAUAUUUGUUUUGUGUAGAUGUAGGUUGUGGGGCCUCAAGCGACGAUCAUAAUACUGGUGAAUCUGAAAGAUACAGAAGAACAGAUGGCAAGAGAUGGCGGUGCAAAAAAGACGUGCUUCCUGAUCAGAUGUAUUGCGAACGGCAUGUACACGGAGGGCGCAUAUGUUCAAGAAAGCCUGUGGAAGUUGAUAAAACCUUUUUAAAGUGGAGAUGAAAACAUAUGUUUCAACAACCUUCACCUGCCCAAAAGAGUAGAGAUGAAGACAUAUGUUUCAUAACACUCUGUUGAUGAUUUGGGUUCUAUUUUGUAGCUGUUAUAUUAUAUUAUAUUAUAAAGGGAUUACAUGUGCA